rnacentral:rRNA from 1 species
UACGAAGGGUGCAAGCGUUAAUCGGAAUUACUGGGCGUAAAGGGUGCGUAGGCGGUUAGUUAAGUCUGUUGUGAAAUCCCCGGGCUCAACCUGGGAAUUGCAUUGGAUACUGGCGAGCUAGAGUGCGGUAGAGGAUGGCGGAAUUCCCGGUGUAGUAGUGAAAUGCGUAGAGAUCGGGAGGAACAUCUGUGGCGAAGGCGGCCAUCUGGACCAGCACUGACACUGAGGCACGAAAGCGUGGGGAGCAAACAGG